UAUCUAUGGUUACCACGUAGUUUUAUAUCAGUGGCGUAAGGGACGGAUGCAUGAUGGGCUCAGUGUUUUACUGUCGCUGCCGAACAUUUUCGUCGUCAGCGGCCGUUCUGAAGAGGAUUCCAAAUGAUCUUAAAGGCAGAGGCAAAAGUUCACAGGAAUGGCUCAUUCGACAAAUGAACGACCCAUAUGUGAAAAAGGCCAAGCUGGAGAACUACAGGGCCCGCUCGGCGUACAAGCUGCUGGAGAUUGCCGGCCGCGUGGAGCUGAUGAGGCCCGGAGGCGUGGUGGUGGAGUGCGGCGCCG